rnacentral:rRNA from 1 species
AGAGCGAACGCUGGCGGCAGGCUUAACACAUGCAAGUCGAGCGCCCCGCAAGGGGAGCGGCAGACGGGAGAGUAACACGUGGGAACGUACCUUUCGGUUCGGAACAACCCAGGGAAACUUGGGCUAAUACCGGAUACGCCCGUAAGGGGAAAGAUUUAUCGCCGGAAGAUCGGCCCGCGUCUGAUUAGCUAGUUGGUGAGGUAACGGCUCACCAAGGCGACGAUCAGUAGCUGGUCUGAGAGGAUGAUCAGCCUCACUGGGACUGAGACACGGCCCAGACUCCUACGGGAGGCAGCAGUGGGGAAUAUUGGACAAUGGGCGCAAGCCUGAUCCAGCCAUGCCGCGUGGGUGAUGAAGGCCCUAGGGUUGUAAAGCCCUUUCGGCGGGAAGAUAAUGACGGUACCCGCGAGAAGAAGCCCCGGCUAACUUCGCGCCAGCAGCCGC